rnacentral:rRNA from 1 species
UACGUAGGCAGCGAGCGUUGUUCGGAGUUACUGGGCGUAAAGGGUGUGUAGGCGGUUCUUUAAGUUUGGUGUGAAAUCUCCCGGCUUAACUGGGAGGGUGCGCUAUAAACUGUGGGACUAGAGUGUGGGAGAGGAAAGUGGAAUUCCUGGUGUAGCGGUGAAAUGCGUAGAUAUCAGGAGGAACACCGGUGGUGUAAACGGCUUUCUGGACCAUAACUGACGCUGAGGCACGAAAGCGUGGGUAGCAAACAGG